UCAUUCUUUUCUCAACCGUCAAAAUUGAAAGUGCUUUUUUUAAAUUCAAAUGUUUCAUAUUCAAUUUAGGUUGAUAACAAUCACUGCUGAUCAUCUUGUUAAUCUUGUUAACAUUAAUCUUCGCCUCUCCGUACUCUUGGACUUGCCAUUUAUAAUCAUCUUACCUUAUUACCUUUCCCAAUUUGUUUCUUUUUGUUUGGCCAUCGUUCACUUUGCUCUUGUUUUGUGUAUUUUUAUAUAUAUUUUUCUGGUGGCAACUUAUAAUUCUUCUCAUCAAUGCUAAUCAAGAUGAUGUCCUCUUUUGGUAGAUGAAAUAUUAAAUUAACUUUCAUUUUUUAUCGUGCUGAUAGGCCUAUUAAUGGGAUGACCCAUCACAAUAAUUGAUCAAGAUCAUUAGUCAUCAUGCAGAAUGUUUUACUUUUCAAAUGCUUAGCCUCUUUUGUUUACAUCUUGUAAUCUUCAAUGCCACAAGACGUUUUGAAAAGCAGACGUUUUGAAAAGCAGACGUUGCGACUUCGAGAUUGAAGCGCAUAUUUCGGAUUAGCAAAAUUUAAGCUCGACAAAGGUUUCACAUAGCAAAUAGACGGAACAUCUAAUUGAUUUUGCCCCUUGAACUACGUGCUUAUUUACGAUAAGAUUCAAGAUGAGACCUAGAAACCAUCGGAGGAUUGGAAAAGCAGACAAGUGUAGCAAUAGAGAGCAUCAUGAAGAUUAAGAAGAGGAAGAUAUUGAUGAUGAUUAAGGUGAUGAAGGACAAAUCUUGAUGAGUGAUCCAAAUUAUCAAUAUACCUUAAAGCGAUUUGAAAGAUUAAAAAUUUGAGGAAAAGCCUGCCAAAGUAUGCUCUCAUUUUUCAAUUCAAUUCAAAACCGAGAGUCAAAAGCUGUUAUCAAUUAAUAUUGUCAACAUUUACAAGUUCAGGUUUAAGUUGAGAUACAUUUUGUUAUGCAUAACUUGGCUGCAAAUAUCAAUGUAUCAACUGUUGAUCGUAAUAAUUGUCGUUCGCGUUGUUACCUCAGCGUAAACAAAAGGCGAGGUGAAUAUUAAAGAUGAUAUUAAACCUUCACACAAACAGCCUGGAUGGAUAACAUGAACACAAUAACCUGAUGAAAUUAUUUAUUAGCAUGAUAUUUACAAAACGUAAAAAAAGUGAAAUCUAUUGAUCACAUUGAUACAUAAUUCAUGGACAAAAAUUUGAAUGUAAAGUGAUUAUCCAAGGAAAGACAGGCAGCAGCAACACCAAUUGUGGUAAAUGAUCAAUAUUCAAUUGAGACCAGUAAACCCAAUGACCUGUUUAAAAGCUAAAUGAGAUGAUGACAGAAACAAAAUUGAAAUUAAUUAUUGCCAUUGACGACAAAUACACAAAAUAAAGACUCCAACUGGUAAUGAUAUCAACAAAAAAAGUGAAAGAAAGCUUAAUUACGCAUCUAAAAAUGAAUAUCAUGAGAGAAUGACUAAGCUUGAUUUAGCUAACCAUUAAGAAACCCAUAACAGAUUAAUCUGUGUUUGUAAUCAUCUGGAAACUGAACAGCAACGAUUGUUCACAGGCUGACAUUAAGCAUUACACAAGUCGUGUAUUUAUAUUGCACAUCAUAGGAAUGACAUUCAAUUGCAAGACUAAGGGAAUCCAAUUUUUCAUGGCCUAUUACCCUGAUCAACUGGCAAGUCCUUCAAUACUUCUUGACUCUCUAUCCCUGUCCUUGAUUAUUACAGUUUCUUUUUUUCAUUUCAGUUAUCUCUACUCUGGACUAUAUCACUAAUUGACCCUCGACUAUCAUCUUCAUCAUUAACUUCAGGGUCAAACGGGACCAGCUUUUUUCCACCACAUUUUUCAAUCUCUUUUACAAUCACCUUUUUCACCGUACUGUCCAUCACCCAAAUCUAAUACAUUCACCGAAUUGUUCACCGCUUUUCGGAUAGAUGAUGAUGAUAUUUGUGUUGAAUUCAAGUGAUGGACGAAAGAAUACGAAAGAGAUUGAAAAAGUGGUGGAAAAAAGCUUGUCCCGGUCAAGCUCAAUUUGAAGCUCAAAUUUUUCCUCAACACAGAAAUGAUUCUUACUGUUACCUUACAUUUCCUUACUUUAUCAUUCUAAGGCAUUUUAUUGAAUAGCCAGUGUUGAUGAUUUACAGAUUAGACUAAACUGCUUUUUCAACUGUCUGCAAACCCGCUCUAAUUCACUGAUUAAGAAGCAAAUUUAAUUUACUCUUAAUAACAGUUGAAAUGUUAAUCAUUUUGUUUUCACCUUUUUAACUUGAUUCAACUUCCCAAUCAUCACCAUCACUUUUCCUCAGUUAAUUUUGAUUCAACUAAUCUAAAAUUGGAAAAAUUCCGUUGAAUUUUAUUAAAUCCAAUGAUCCCAUUUUGAUCAACUUAAUCGCAUACCUUGAUCACAAAAUAAUUAAUCAAUUCAUAAUUUAGCCUAAUAAAUUUACCUUGUCUGUCCCUGGUUUUUUGAUAAACAACGUGUUUUCAUUUUGUAUAAUACUUGCAACUCUAAUGGUUAUGAUUUAAUCAUUUUAACCAUCGAGAUUAAUGUUUUAUUAAUCAUUCUUUUAAUUCUGUAAUUUUACUUUGAUCAAUGAAAAUUCAAGAUGUAUCAAAAAAUAAAUUAAACAUUGCAUUAAUUCAAAUAUAAUCGGUCAUUUUGGUUCUUCCACUUUUCCCGGUUAUUUAUGCAAUUGGUUAAACCCAAGAAAAUCAGAUGAUAGCCGAUGCUUUUUAGAGAUUUACUCUUAAAUAGAACUGUUUUAAAGUUUUAAAUCAGAUUAAUUUAAUUAUUUAGAUUCAAUAAUUUACAGGAAAUUUUCUCACUCAUGAAUCUUUUCAAUUGUAUCAAUUAAUAAUAAAUCAACCAUUUUGUUCAUCGGCUGAUUCCCAUUAUGCUUUUUAAGCUAACAAUGAAAUGGCUUAGCCUUUCCAGCAAAGCCUGCAUUGUCUUAAAGCCUUUUGUUUUGAUCCGUUUCUCUUUGUUAAUAAUGUUUUAUGUUAAUUAAUUACGUUUAUUAGAUAAUUUUAAGAAAGUUUCAACUUGAAUUUUGAUUGUGUGUGUUCAAAGUAUAGUGUUUAAUGAAUUAUUUUUCAAACGGAUGAUUUUUCAGCUGUAAACAACUAAUGCAAAUGUUGAAGUGUAAUUUUACCAUUUACAUGCAUUUGUUUGUACUCUGACCAUUGUUCGGAAAUAUGAAUAGACUUUGGCAGGGUGAAUAAUAGUUGUUGAACAAUGUUCAAUAAACUAUUAAAAUCUACACAACCUUUAAUGGUGAAAAUCAUUGGGAAGUAAAUCGAAGAAAACAUUAAAAAUCACAAAGUCAAGUGCAAAGUGAAUGCGGAAGCUGAUUAAUCUUACAGGUAUCAUAUGCUGCAUCCUUUUUUUAUUGAAACACAACUGAUUAUCGAUGAAAAAGCUAUUGGAAAACCAUAGUUUAAUACAGUAAUUUACAGGUAAAUACUGACUAUUACGUGAAUUCAGGAACUCAUCUACGAGCUGUUAACUUUCCAUCCAUACUCUAUCCGAGUCAAAGUCAAUGCUAAAUUUGAUUCUUCAUGACCUGUCCUUCCAUGGGAUCUCCUACCGAUUGAACUUGAUUUGGUAGCCAGUCGAUUAUAAGAUUGCAGAAAAUGAUAACGUUUAGCCAAAAAAAAGAGGCAAAAAAGUGAAUGAUGUUGUUUGCAUUAUUGAGAAUGAUAAUGAUGUUAGAUCUAAAAAGUGAAGACCUGUUUACGGAUCGGGAAUUUUCCAAAUUCUGGUGUAACUUGUGUCCCAAAGAGAUAGGAAAGGCAAGGUUAAGUGUCGGGUUCAGGGUAAACAACAAAUGAACAGGCAAAGUAAACAAGUGAUUCUGGUAAAAUAAAAUCGUUCUAUCAAAUGGUUUGGAAAAGUCGUCAUCAUUAGGCUUUUACAUUCAGUGAAAACUUGAUGUUAGACCUUUAUACAGUGAUCAUUUUGAUUAGUUGCCAAAGGAACGGAAUAAUGGAACCAAGUGGUGUUGAACAAGAUCAAGUUAAUGUUGAGGACAAUUUGGAGUUUCGUAGAGUCGAGAGAACCUGGAGAUAAUAGAAAAGCAAAAUUGAUGAAACAAACAUAGAAUCACAAUGAAUCUUCAGGCUCAAGCUUGAUUGUUGUUGGUUAUCAUUAUUUUACAUUCAACUUUCACUUUUUACUCCUCGUCUAAUCUCUAUUUUCAUUUCUGUAUUUUUCUGCUUCAUUUUUGUCAUCCCAAUGGAAUCUUGUGAUGAUGAUAAGCUCAUCAGUCAAUGACCUUUGAUUAUCUUUUUAUUGAAUAUACCAGGAAAUGUUUCCACUGAUAAAUCUCUAAUAUCAACUUUCUUAUUCUCGGUUCUCUGUUUUCCAUCUUCUCACCUUCCACCUUGCUUAAAAUUGUUAUGAAUGUCAACCGUAGAUGCAUUUAUGAUGGUUACUUUAUCCAUAAUUAGUGUAAUCUACAGUAAUUGUUACAAAUUUUAAUUUCAAUUACAGUAUUGGAUAAGGGUUAACAAUCACCAUGCUAACCUAAAGUGACAAUUACCUUGUAAAUUGUUGUACUCUUUAUCUCGUUCAUUUCCCAUUCAACAAUCAGAAACCAAUAUAUUUUACUGUCGUUUUCACCAUUAUUUA